rnacentral:miRNA from 10 species
CCAUACUUCUUUGCUAUCCCAUA